UUGAUUUGCCUGCAAAAGUGUGAGCAAUGCCAUGAGUUAAGAGGGGACUUUCUGGUCUCAAGUUUUGCUUUUCAGUGAGUUCAGGCUCGCUUUGGAAAAUAGUUGGAACAUUUGGAAGAAAUUGAUCUGAAUUCAGAGUCUGGAGUAAAACAGUAAAGCAGCCCUGCAGGAAGACCACAGUGGCCCCAGUUCAAGCUGCAUUUGGACCUCAGUCUUCCACCUAGGGCAGAACAAACCUGCUGAACAUCCGAAGCAUGUGAAGAGCCGAAUUUACAGGGGACAGAUGGAGAAGUGCACAGGCCAGAGUGCAGCGGAGGAGCUGACCUGAGGAAAGGAGGCUUUCACCUGCCCAGACAAGACGUGUCUCCUUGCCGGUCUGUGUGUGAGUUAUGCAAGGAAAAAGGUAAGCACCGAAGAGCUGUGAACCUGACCCAAGCACAUCUCCCCUCCAGGCUCCUUGCAGCAAGAAGCCCUGCUCCAGUCUGUGCCAGGAAAAGACAGCUACGGGGAUGUAACCUCAGGCUUCAACAUCCUCUGGCAUUUUGCUUCCAGAACUCCUACGUUUGUUCAGGUCUCCCUACGUUAGAUCACAUCCCUGAACUGGAUCACAGACUGGUCACCCAAGAAGAUGGACCAACACAAAAAGGACUGUGGUACAGAGAAGAGAAGUUAAAAAAAAAAAAAAAAAAAAAAAGGCAGAGGGAUUCCUGGAUUAUUGGAAACCACAACAGCCUCAAAAGUCUCUGUAACAUGAAACUGCAGAUAAGGUUGGUCAUAGCCCGUGACGUGCAGCUGACGGCUGAGCCCAUGGGAGAAGAGCCUCCCAGCAGCAUUGUGCAAGGGGCUGAUACCGCGUCCUCCUAAAUCUUGGAGGGCUGAAGCUUAUUUGUACAACAAACAAGGCUUGACUGGAGUUUACCGUGCAGAAUUGUGCCUCUGUAACACAGUUCAGCUGUGUGUAUAUUUCAUAGCAAAGAAAAUAUAGUGAUGACUUCCACUAGGUUUCUUCAUCAGUGGCCAUUGCAUUAAUGCUAAAUGUUUGUGUGACUUGUUUGGGUUAAAAGAAGUGCAUUGGACAGGAUUCUGAAUAAAUGUAAAUUAGAAGUGACUCAUUAAAAUAUUUGGAGUUACAGGCACAAACGGGAUCAGAAUCAAGCCACUUGUCCUAGUUUCUGUCACACAAACACUAACCCUUUAUAAAUCAUUAAUUUCCAGACUGUUUAUUAUCCAGGGGAAGUAACAAAACAGUAGUAUCACAUAACACAUCCUAAGAAUGCCUUGUUCAUUUUAAGAGCAAAUAAAACUAAAUAGCACCAAGUUGUUAGUGAUGCAGCCUAUGAGACCAAGCAGAAAGACAAAAAGGGGAGCUUAAUGAGUCUGAGGCCACAAAAUAAACAGGGAAGGGGUAAAAAAAAGAAAAAGAAAAGUAGUAUAAGAGUGACUUCACAUAGAGUAUCUUCACAUAGAUAUUAUUUGUUUACUACCACAUGGAAAUUCCCUGUUCAUUACAUGGUGGUGCUUUCACUGGGGAUGCCACAGCCAUGCUAUCGGAGUGUGAAUGCUUUCCACAGCUGCUGUUACCCUUCAUCAGCUUUCUCCACAGGCAUAGAACAGAGUGGAGCCACCCUUUCAAAAAAUAAUAGUCGAAAUUAAUUACUCUGUCGAGAAAACAACCUUUGGGUUGUUUCAUUUACUAGCCCCCUCUUCUAAUGUGUUUGUCACAUGUUGCCCAGAAGCUGCCCAUGAUGAGGAAAUUACAUUAACGCACAGCUGAGGAUGAGGCAGAGAAAGUGAGCACCGUGUCUGUCCUCGCUAGGACUGUGCUGAAGUUCACGACUUGCCUUUCUAUGGGGCAAGGGGACCUGCCUUGGCUGCAGGAGCCCACCCUGCCACGGGAGCCCACCCUGUGAAGGGAGCCCAUCUGGCUGCGCCAGGCAGGCUGCUGAGUUUCCCAGCCAUGCAACCUGCUUGAAAGCACAGGGAUGGAGUUGCAAAUACGGAAGUGGGAGUUAGAUAAAACAAGUUUUUUUUCUCGCCUAUUUUGUAUCAUUUCAAUGGAUAGUGCUGACAGCUGAGAGUGCACAGCUAUUUAUUCCUUGCACUUUUGCUAAUAGCAGCAACGCCAGACACCGUACUGCUUCAGUACCAUUGAGCCUUGCUAGCACAGGCUGUAUUGGCUUGUUGUCAAUUUAGCUUAAAUCCGUUCCCAGUUUCACUAGUAAAAAGUCCUUUUCUAGCCAAUAUUACUGAGCUUAUAUUGAACUGGCUUUUUUGCUAGCCUUACUUGUCAGUAAAGUAUCGUACUUUUAAAAGUGAUGUUAGCAAAACCGUAAUACAGGCCUCACAGAUGAUUUGGGUCCAUAUGUUAUUUAUUUUAAUCUCUUAAGGUUCCAAAACACUAUAUAUUUACAGUCACUCUUUAAAGUUAUUGUUAGUUACAAAAUAUUAGAAACAUAGUUUCAUCUAUAAAAUGCGUGAUUAAUUUAAUCUUUACCAUACUUUUUUGCAUCAUACAGGAAACAUUUUAGCCUGAUGAAUACCAUGGAUGUAUAAUUAGUGCUUUAUACAGUAAACUUGAUUAUAACUUACACUGUCCACCCUGGCUCCAAAAAUCCUUGCAGAUUUUAAUUCAAUUGCUGCACUUUAUCUGGAUGAAAGCAUUUGAAUUCAAUUAUUAUUAUUCUGCAUGCAUUUGUGCCUUUGUAUAGGUUAGAUGUGGUAGUAGUUUUAAAACAAGUUUAGUGGAAGUCUCAAAUUAGGCAUUAGAGUCUAUAUUUAGGCAUCUAUCAGAUUUUAAAUGCUGACCAUCUGAUUUUCCUAGCUGAGGUUUGCCAAAGUCAGGGUUUAAUGGGUAUUGAGACUGGAAGAUAAAAUUAAAGGGAAACAAAUUUUGAGAUGUUUCUGAAUUUUGAUGGGAAUUAGGCACCUGCCCUGCCUGGACUAUUGUGAAUGCCCUGUUACCUGCUUAUCUGUACCUGCCAAUGCUCAAAUGCCUUUAAAAUCUUGGCAGGAUGCUUUGGAUACCCACAUAACAGUAAACCCAUUAAAAAUCUC